ACUCCUGCGGGAGGCAGCAGUGGGGAAUUUUGGACAAUGGGCGAAAGCCUGAUCCAGCAAUGCCGCGUGCAGGAUGAAGGCCUUCGGGUUGUAAACUGCUUUUGUACGGAACGAAAAAGCUCCUUCUAAUACAGGGGGCCCAUGACGGUACCGUAAGAAUAAGCACCGGCUAACUACGUGCCAGCAGCCGCGGUAAUACGUAGGGUGCGAGCGUUAAUCGGAAUUACUGGGCGUAAAGCGUGCGCAGGCGGUUAUGUAAGACAGAUGUGAAAUCCCCGGGCUCAACCUGGGAACUGCAUUUGUGACUGCAUGGCUAGAGUACGGUAGAGGGGGAUGGAAUUCCGCGUGUAGCAGUGAAAUGCGUAGAUAUGCGGAGGAACACCGAUGGCGAAGGCAAUCCCCUGGACCUGUACUGACGCUCAUGCACGAAAGCGUGGGGAGCAAACAGGAUUAGAAACCCUUGUAGUCCCA
rnacentral:rRNA from 1 species